UACGGCCGUACCGCACUGAAUAUACCGGUUCUCGUUAGAUCACCGAAGUUAAGCAUCAUUGGGCGCGGUCAGUACUUGGGUGGGUGACCACCUGGGAACACUGCGUGCCGUU